GUGCACAUUGGCAGCACAUAUACUAAAAUUGGAAUGAUACAGAGAUCAGCAUGACCCUUGUACAAGAAUAACAUGCACAUUUGUGAGCGCUUCAUAUAUUU
ensembl:snRNA U6 U6 spliceosomal RNA